GUCUGGAGAUCCCUCAGAAACCUGAAGAUAACCCUACCGUUCGACCCAGCCAUCCCACUCCUUGGAAUUUACCCAAAGGAAUUUAAAUUGGCAAACAAAAAAGCGGUCUGCACCCUAAUGUUUAUUGCAGCUCAAUUCACAAUAGCUAAGACCUGGAACCAACCUAAAUGCCCAUCAACGGUAGACUGGAUAAAGAAAUUAUGGGAUAUGUACUCUUUAGAAUACUAUACCGCAGUAAGAAACAACGAAAUCCAGUCAUUUGCAACAAAAUGGAGGAAUCUGGAACACAUCAUGCUGAGUGAAAUAAGCCAGUCCCAAAGGGACAAAGAUCAUAUGUUCUCCCUGAUCGGUGACGACUGACUGAACACCAAAAAGGAAACCUGUUGAAGUGGAAUGGACACUAUGGGAAACGGUGACUUGAUCAGCAUAGCCCUGACUGUUAAUGAACAACUUAAUAUAUUAUCCCUCUUAGUAGUUUUUUUGUCUGUUCUACUUAAUAUGACUGGUUUAAUUCUGUAAUUAAUACACAGUUAUUCUUAAGUGUUGAAAUUUAACUGAAAUGUGAUCCCUGUUAAACAUAAGAGUAGGAAUAAGAGAGGGAAGAGAUAUAUAAUUUGGGACAUGCUCAAGCUGACUUGCCCCAAAUGGUAGAGUUAGAAACAUACCAGGGGACUCCAAUUUAAUCCCAUCAAGGUGGCAUGUACCAAUGCCAUCUCACUAGUCCAAGUGAUCAAUUUCAGUUCACAAUUGAUCAUAAUGAAAGGACUAAGAGUCAAAGGGAGCACAUAAGCAAGUCUAGUACCUGCUAACACUAACCGAUAGAAUAAAUAAAGGGGAGAGUGAUCCAACAUGGGAAGUGAGAUACUCAGCAGACUCAUAGAAUGGCAGAUGUCCUAAAUAGCACUCUGGCCUCAGAAUCAGCCCUAAAGGCAUUCGGAUCUGGCUGAAAAGCCCAUGAGAGUAUUUCAGGCAUGGAAAGCCAAGACACUCUGGCAAAAGAUCUCUGUGAGUGAGAUCUCAGUGGAAAAAACAGGUCUUCAAAGAAGGAGGUACCUUUCUCUGAAGGGAGGAGAGAACCUCCACUUUGACUAUGACCUUGUCUAAACAAGAUAAGAGUCGGAGAACUCAAGGGGCUUCCAUAGCCUUGGAAACUCAUGACUGGAGCAUAGGGGGAUUGCUGAUGCCAUAGACAGGAGUGUCAAUUGGUAAAGUCAACAACAGGAGUCACUGUGCACUUACUCCUCAUGUAGGAUCUCUGUCCUUAAUGUGCUGUGCAUUGAGAUUUAAUGCUAUAACGAGUACUCAAACAAAACAUGGAAUUUUUAAUGAAGCUCGUAAUACUAACCUGUUCACAGAAGGGUCAAAGAGGUCUUGAAAAGGAAAAUGGUAUGCAGUUAUUGGAAAGAUUUAAAGAAAAAACCAACAGUGCAAAACAAUAAUCUCUUUUCAUAGCAGGCUAGGGUCUAUCCUCUACAGAUUUUUGUCUUGAUUCACUGAAUACAUAAAUGGAAGUGAAUAGAAGCUAAAUUCAACUUCUGUGAUAACUAAAAAUCCAGGCAUAAAUGAUGUGAACAUAUGCUACAACUAACUGUUUCAGGGAAUUUAAUAUUCCAUAGAAAUUGCUUAGUUUCCCAGAAAAUCUUACUGCUUCUGAAAACUGCAGAUCGGGGAUUCUUAAACUGCGGUUCAGAAACCCUUAGGGAUGUCUCUUUUAGGGGGGGAGGGUUCAUGAAAUCAAUACUAUUUUCACAAUGGUGCUAAGACCGUAUUUGUCAUUUUCACAUUCAGAAGUGCACAGUGGAGUGUUAUAGAAGCUCUACGAUGUGAGAUGAUGCCUUUGUUCUGAUGGUUAAUGAAAUGUAUGUUUAUAACUUUGUCAGUUUUGGUAUCUAAUAUGGUAAAUACAGACAUAAUCACAUGAAAAAAAAUGACCAAGGAAUACAAAGAGUCUUUUAAGAAUGUCGAGAGGUCUGAAGAUUUAAUGUUUGAGAACUGCUGCACUAGAUGAUUUUGUUUUUUUUUUUCAGUUGAUUUCACUUAUGACCAUCUUCUGGUAAUUCAGGGGUGCAUCACCUGACUGAUGUAUUUAACAUAGGAUUUCCUUUCACUCAGAUACAUUCUGAGUACCUAAUGUAUGCAUGUUACCAUACACAGUAAGCAAUAGUUUUUGUUGUCCUUGUCAAAUGGUGUAUGCAUAUACCAGUUCCCUGUUCUUGGUCAAUAAAGAAUAAAGGGCUCUUGUCUCCAAAAUAGAUAUAAUAUUACUUAGAUACUCCUCUCUAGCUGAUUGUCCAUAUCCAACCCAGAAAGGAGAAACAUCUCUCCCAGAUUGUGACUGUUCCUUACUCUCUCAGGCUAGAGGUACAGGAACAGAGGUCAGACUUGGAUGUUCCGUUGUGGUGACUGUGCAAUGCACUCCUCACCACUUCAUCCUUUCUUUGAUUCCUGAAGGGGAGUCACAGAUUAAGGCUUCAAUUUGGGGCAGUUUGCAAUGGGAGAGCAAAUGCUUGCCAUCCCUUAUGAACUGAGUAUCUGAUAUUUUUUCUUCCCUGGCACCUGUUCUUCAUGUUCAGACAGUUCUUUGAUUUUCUGAGUUGACUGUGGUAUUUACAUAUGAUCAAUCAUCAAGUUUCAUGCCUCGGCUUUAAGGAUCUUAGACAAACAUACUGUAUCCUACUCCAGGAUAAUGGGGUCAGCGCAAAAUCAAGCACGGAGAAAAAGUGAGAAAGAUUCUAGUUAAUUAUUGUGUCCCUAGCACUCAGCAGGUGUUCAGAAGUAUUUACUGAUUUAGCUGACUAUGACCGAGUCUCUCUUCAAAUGCCUGGAACAUCUCAGAUAAAAACAGAUAACUGUAUAAUCCUUUGUUUUCAACAGGCAUCCGCUGUAGAAAUACUCAAUGGCACAUCCAAGGUUUAAUAAAAUCCACUUCCUAUUUUUUUUUCCUCUUUCCUAUCUUUGUUGUUACCUUGUACCACCUUCUCUAAGCAUGCUCUUUUCAUUCCAAGUACACUCUCAGGACUCUGGAUAGACUGCAUGAUUCAAAAGCUUUUGUUUCCCCUGAAAAUAUCUUUGAUUUUGCAUUUCUAGGCUUAGCUUGUGUAUGCUCUGAAUCUUGUGAAAGAAAUUUCAUGUGCGGCCAACCUAUGCAUGUCAACCUAUGCAUGUGUAGCCAACCUAUGCAAGUCACAGACUGCAUCUUGAGUCGGGAAACACGAACCAAAGUGGAUGAGUGAAAAAUGGAUAAAAAUGUGGCUGAUGAGAAUUGACGGUGAUAUCAGCUUACCAUUGCCAUGGGAAUGCUAUAUAAUUAACCAAUACUAACGCUGUUGCUCUCAUGUCUACUGGUGGGCUGGAGCCUGAUGUAAUUUUAGGACUCUACAUGGAGGGUACAACUCCAGGAAGAUCUGUCUAAUCCAUGACUCCCACCUCAGACUCAGCUCACUCUACUAGAGCAAGCAGGGGAUAGAAUAUGAUCUGCCAAGGAAAUGUCCCUCUCUUCAUCCUAAACCACCUGUUCCUUGCCAGGCUGUGCACUGGGAGCACCUGUGGAGCUCUGGAAGCUGACUGCAACACCCAGGCCCCACUUGAGGAGAUGUUGGCUUGCUUGGUCCAGAAUUUUCCUUCCGAUGUGGCGUAACACCAUAGUGACUGUUUCUGGUGCAGUUCUUUAAACAUGAAGAAGAGAAUUUGACCCAAAUACAGCUGAUAUGUCAGAGGUACAAGACCUCACUGAUUAAAAAGAAGCCCUUGAACAUUAUUUAGAAUCACUCAAACAGUCUGAGCCCAAAAGAAGAACAAUCUAGUGUUAUCUGCCCAAGAUGACCAGAGACAAAGAGAGAUAACCAUGGAAUGUCCUUUGCAUAUGAAAACCAAGACAGGAAGAAUGAGUUAGUACAAUCUUUGGGUGUCUUUCUGAAUAUCAAUGCUCAUGUUUUGAACUGGCAAAUCUAACUUGACACAUUUUUCUUGAAAAGCUAUUUCUUUUCUUUUCUUUUGACAGGCAGAGUGGACAGUGAGAGAGAGAGAGAGACAGAGAGAAAGGUCUUCCUUUGCCAUUGGUUCACCCUCCAAUGGCCGCUGCGGCCGGCGCACCACGCUGAUUCGAAGCUAGGAGCCAGGACAAAUGCACUUGGAUAUGCCUCCAUUUCCAUUAACAGGCAACUUGGGGGAAAGAACUCAGCUAUACUUCGAUUUUUCCACUUAAAGAAAGAUGGUUUUCAUUAUUCAUACCCAGCUGACGAGGAGAGAGAAAAGAAUAAGCGAGAAGAUGCUGCUUGGAGUGAGGGGAGGCUUUAAGGGUCUGAUCUUGACCAACUGCUUCCAGUAACACUCAGCCAAUGGGAAGCUCUGGGAGGAGACUGGAGGGAAGGAGCCAGUGGGCAGCCAGGUUAUUUCUCUCCCUCAUUCUAAUGCUGCUUUGGGGAACAUCUCUGGCAGCAGCAGCUGCUUCUCCUUGGUUCCUGCUCCUACUGGACACUUCAUCUCACCAUGGUCCCAGCUUCUGCAGACAGGUACCACCUUGCAUUCUAAUAGGAUCACUCCCUCCUUUAUAGCUCAUUCUCAGCAACUGUAUUUUUUUUUAAAGGACCAGGUAUCAUAUAUGUUAGACCUUACAGGCCAAGAGGCAAACAACUGUAUUUUUUUUAAAGGACCAGAUGUUAUAUAUGUCACACUUUGCAGGCCAAGAGGCAAAAUUGAGGAUAUUUUAUAGGCACAAGAUAGCAUUUAAUAUAUAAUCAUUUAAGGGCGGGAAUUUGGCAUGGUGGUUAAGGCACCACUUGGCAGGCCCCUAUCACAUAUCAGAGUGCCAGGGUUCAUGUCCUGGCUCCUCUCCUGAUUCCAGUUUCCUACUAAUGCCAACCCUGGGAGGCAACAGAUGAUGUCUCCAAUAACUGGGUUCCUAUCACCCAUAUGAGAGACUUAGACUGAGUUCUCAACUGGCCUAAGCCUAGCUGUUGUUGGCAUCUGAGGAGUGGACCAGCAGAUGAGGGAUUUCUGUGUUUCUAUCACUUUUGCUCUGCCUCUCAAACAUGCAUUUUAAAAAGAAUUAAAUAUAAUUAUUAUAAAAUGUCUGAACUAUUCAUAGCCUGUGGGCCACAUAAAAGCAGGCAGUAGACUGGCUGGGUUUGGCACAAAGGCUGGACUUUGCCAAUCUCUGCUCUAGUCUCAGGAGCAGUAGUGGCUUCACAGAGUUGCUAAUCUCCUGAUUGCUUCCCGGGCCCCUUUUCAAUCAUCCACACAUCUAUGCCCUGUGUACCAAGUUCCCUGCGUUACAACUCUUUUUAAUUGAAUCAUCUGGCAUGAGUUCUCUUUUCGUUCAUGGACUUGAACUGAUACAAUAGGCAAUGACUUGUUUAAAACCACAUUCCAUAAAAUGGAAUUAUUAUCCAUUUCAUAAAAUUCUCAUUGCAUUCUGGUCUUCAAAAAUGCAUUUCCAAACAUGUCUCAAUGGAAUCAUGGAGAGUCAUCAUUCAAGAGAAAUUAAGCUGCCUGCCCACUUGUGUUUCGACUGUCUAAGUUGAUGCACUCAUGCAGUGCUGAAAAACUAGUAGCCCAAAGGGAUACCCACAAAUCAGCAUCAGGAAGAAGAAACUUAAAAUAUUGACCUUCUUGACCAACACUAACCAAUAUCACAAUCAAAAGAGAUGGAAAAAGGUGCCCCACAGUACUGGGUGGUAGAUGGAGGUACAUACUAGAAGUGACAUUAAAGCUGAACUCUGAGGCCAAUUUCUUGCACCAGACUAAGUUAAUAAUAAUUACGACAGUAAUGAUACAAUUCAGUGAACACCUGACACAUGCCAGAUUCCACACUACACAAUUUACUUGCCAUCACCUAAACUGAAUAAUCAUUAUUUCCUUUAUACAAUAAGAAAACAGAGGCCCAGGGAAGUCAUGUACCUGGAAGAUAGCUGCUGAGCCUCUCUGCCCAUGUACUAGCAAAGCUUGGAUUGCAGCCAAGGAUUGGCUAGAGAUUCUCCAUUGACGCUUUGGUCACAUGACUUUCAAAUCUUUCCAAUUCUCUGUCUCAUAGAGCCACCAGAUCUCAUUAUACAGAAAAUAUAGUUUAAGGCACAACAUUAAAAUAAGAUACUGUGGUUAUAAAUUUUCUGAAAUUUUAGCCAUAAAGAGUGAAACUCCUUGGUUAUGCAAAACUAUAAAUGCAUGCUUAAGUGUAAUUGCAUAUACAGCAUUUCCUGAACACAAGGAAUAAAAAAAUUGUAGCCCUUAACACUUUUAUUUUCCCCAGUUUGGCUUUUAUGGUAAAAAUGUUUAUCAUCACUGCUUUUGGAUAUGAAUCUUAGAAAACAUGUUUUCUAAGAGCUACAUUGCCAGAUAACGGCCAAACCCCUACAGCUUUCCUGGUAUCUACUUCCAUCUGUAUCCAUAUUUCAAGUAGAAGUAAUAGAGCAAUGGAAUAAGAUGCUGGAGCCACGAGGAGGGGAACAGUGUCCAGCCAGCCAGAGCUCAAUGAAGCAGUCCCAGCUUACUGUUGUAUCCAUACAAAAGACCCUCUCCUGGAAUUCUUCAAGGAUUUCAAGAGCUAAAAGCAAGUUAAUGUAAGAUAGCUAAAUAUUUAUACUUUUUAUUAUUUGAAUAUGAGGAAAAAGGGAGUGAAGGAAAAGGAGUGAGAGAGGAAGAGGGUGGGGGGGGGUAGAAGGGGAGAGAGAGAGGAAGAGAUAUGCAGAAGUAACCACUCUGGGUUAAAUAUAAUAAAGGAGGCAUUUGUUGUCUCAAGGAUAAUUUUGCUAACUAGUAAAAAUAAUUCCAUAUUUUUAGUUAUUAUGUUUAUUUUUAAUUACCUCUACUUGAUUAUAAACAAAAAUAAUUUACUAAAGUAAAACUCACUGAAUGCCAGGUCUUGUAUUAAGCAUUUCAUAUACAUGUCUCAAUUAAUGCAACAAUAUUAUGAAUUAGUUGACAUUCCACAGAUAAGAAACAGAAAUGAUAAGCAAUUUUCUCAACAGUACAUAGCUAAUAAAUAGCUGAGUGCAGAUUUGAAUGCAAAUAAUCUGUCUCUAAAAUUCAAACUAUACUGUUUCUUCAGAUUAACAAUAUAAAAAAUCAUAAAAGCUUACUGUAGAAUAUCUAAAAAAUAUGGACAAGGGUAAAAAGAAUAUUUCAUGUACUCACACUCUCACUGCCUAGAAAUAAAUGGCAUUUUUAUGUGAUAGCUAUGGUAUAAUCUUUUAUAAACACAAUUUAAUGUGUGUACUUUGGGUAUCCCAUGAGAAAACUAAUAUUUAACACCAGAUUUGGAGAAUAUAUUGGGGAAUAUAUUGGAAUAUAUAUAGAAUAUACUGGAGAAUAUAUUAUGGACUGACCAAAAAUAGAGAUUAUGUCUUACACAAAAUGGAUUUCAGAGGUGCAUGAAAUCCUCCAACAUCUGAGUAAUGAUCUACUUUUCAGAAAAUCUGAAAAAUGAGGUUGAAGCACAUCCUACUAUAACUGCCAAUCAGGGAAGCCCUACCAUAUUGAUUAAGAUACUAUGGAUGGAGAACAACUAUGGCUUCAUAUAUGAGACCUUGAACUGAAAACCAAAAAGGAAAUGUUUUGACUUGUAGCUAUUGAUUUCCUACCAAGUUUGUUUUGUUUUUGUAUGAACUAUAUUAUGUAACAUGAUUUAGAGUGAAAGGAAAUAGCUAUCUGCUCUAUCCAAUGAACAAUCAAAUAUGUAUCCAUCUAUUUUCUUUAAUGAUGAUAAUUUUCUAAAGUAUGCCAGUGUUUUAGGUUCGACUUUCAGAAACAGACCCUGUGAUCAAGAAUUGAGUACAACUCCCUUUUGGAGGAUUUAUCCCUGGAAACACUAGAAGGUAAUUAAAAAGGUGAGUUAAAGAUCAGAGUGCACUGAUCUCAGAAUCAGCCCUUAAGGCAUCUGAUCUGGCUGAAAAUCCAUGAGAGCAUUCCAGGCAUGGAAAGCCAAGACACUGUGGCAAAAAAAAAAAAAAAUCCUACAUGAAGGAUCUCUGUGAAUGAGACUCCAGUGGAAAGAAGGGGUCAUCAAAGAAGGAAGUACUUUUUUCUGAAGGGAGGAGGGAACUUCCACUUUGCUUAUGGCCUUGUCCAAAUACUGAUGGAAACUGUGGACUCAAAAGGCUUCCAUAGCCUUGGCAGUUCAUGUCAAGAGCCUCAGGUGAUCACUGACGUCAUACAUAAGAGUGUUAAUUGUUAAAUUAACAGCAGGAGUCACUGUGCACUUACUCCUCAUGCAGGACCUCUGUCCUAAAUGAGUCAUACUAUGAGAUUUAACUGUAAAACUUGUUCUGAGUUUUUUCUUAAUAUUUUGUAUAUGUGUGUGAGUGCAAAUAGUUGAAAUCUUUACUUAGUAUAGAAUGGUAUUUUGUAAUAUAAAGUAAAUUGAAAAAUGAAUCUUAAUGGACAAAGGGACUA